CUCAGAUGACUGCGCGCCAGGUCUUAACCUUAUUGCGGCAGUGUGGCAACAUUAUGAAAAAAGAGAGCUUGCAAAGUGCUGUGCGGAUAUUACAAAAAGUUUAAAUGGUGAAUAAACUCAGUGUAAAGUGUUAAAAAAGUGAAGAAUAGUGCAAACAAAGUGAGGAUUGGAUAGGAUAAGGAUACUUUGUUUAACCGGCAAAAAAGAUCAAAUAGAUAUACUAAGCUGUUUGCAUGGCAAAUAAACAAGUAAGGAAACACAAGCACCUCAUCAGAAUACAAGUGAUUUAAUAAAUGAAAGCAGCAUAUCUGGAAUUAGAAGGCAACACAAUCAAAUGUUCCAAAAAUAACUGCAGUGAUUAAAUAGUAAAUAAUAAGUGAUAGUGAUUAAUUUUUAAAUAGCAGAAUGGAAGGAUUAAAUCUGGAACUAAAAGGAAACAUCUUACAUAAAGGAAUUUAAUCGAAAGCUAUAAGGAAAUAACUUUUGUGAAAGAAAUAAAUUGAAAACUAUAAGGCAACUUUUACUACAACUGUUUGGAAUAUAAGUGUUGUGAUUAAUAAGUGAAAGUGAUUGAUUUUAAUAUGCAAAAUGCAAGGAUUACACCGAGAACUAUAAGGAAAUGUUUUACAUGAAAGGAUUAUAUCGACAGCAAUAAGGAAACAUAUUACAUGAAGGGAUUAAAUCGAAAACUAUAAAGAAACAUCUCACUUAAAAGGAUUACAUUGUGAACCACAAGGAAACAUCUUAAUAAAGGGAAAGCGGGCAUCAGCGUAAUCUCAGCAGUGGAAACGAAUUGAGGCCAACAAAGCGGAGGAUCUAAAUAUCGCGUAUCCUGUUUCAGCGAGGAUAAAGAAUGUCUAAUCACCUUGAAUGGAACUCUGGAGCCAAAAGAGAACUACAUUCGUUUUGCUAGCUAUUGGAUAUCAGCGGUGCACAAAUACAUGGAAUUCG